UACGGGAGGCAGCAGUGGGGAAUAUUGGACAAUGGGCGCAAGCCUGAUCCAGCCAUGCCGCGUGUGUGAAGAAGGCUCUAGGGUUGUAAAGCACUUUCAGUAGGGAGGAAGGCCAGAGUGUUAAUAGCGCUUUGGAUUGACGUUACCUACAGAAGCAGCACCGGCUAACUCCGUGCCAGCAGCCGCGGUAAUACGGAGGGUGCAAGCGUUAAUCGGAAUUACUGGGCGUAAAGCGCGCGUAGGCGGUUUGUUAAGUGUGAUGUGAAAGCCCAGGGCUCAACCUUGGAACUGCAUCACAUACUGGCAAGCUAGAGUACGGUAGAGGGGGGUAGAAUUCCAUGUGUAGCGGUGAAAUGCGUAGAGAUGUGGAGGAAUACCAGUGGCGAAGGCGGCCCCCUGGAUCGAUACUGACGAUGAGGUGCGAAAAGCGUGGGGAGCAAACAGGAUUGGAAACCCAAAUAAAUU
rnacentral:rRNA from 1 species